rnacentral:rRNA from 1 species
UAUAGAGGUGGCAAGCGUUGUUCGGAAUUACUGGGCGUAAAGGGCGCGUAGGCGGCUUGGUCAGUCCCGUGUGAAAUCCCUCGGCUCAACUGAGGAACUGCACGGGAAACUGCCUGGCUUGAGUUCGGGAGAGGGAAGCGGAAUUCCGGGUGUAGCGGUGAAAUGCGUAGAUAUCCGGAGGAACACCGGUGGCGAAGGCGGCUUCCUGGACCGACACUGACGCUGAGGCGCGAAAGCUAGGGGAGCAAACGGG